AACAUUCCAUAUGAUCAUGGUGUACAGGCAGGGCCCAAGAAUAUUUCUGGAGAAUACAUUACUGGGAACAUGCCAGCAUAUAUAUAUAUCAAGUCAUCAGAUCCGAUCUAACUCUUCUAUCAUUGCCAUCCUACAUCACGAUCUCUUUUUUUCUCUUGCAAGGACGUAGUACUAACUAGCUAUAUCCGGAUAACAUGCUAGCUGUUCUAUUUUAUCCAUGCGUCUCGCCU
rnacentral:lncRNA from 1 species